GGAGAAAUUGCUGCUUUUCUAGAGGACCCGGAUUCCAUUCCAAGCACCUACAUAGAGGCUCACCACGGUCUGUAAUUCCAGUUGGAAGGGAUCUGACGCCAUCUUCUGGCCUUUGUGGGUGCCAGGCACGCACGAGGUAUGUGUAUAUGAGUUCCACAGCACAAGUGGAAAAGGUCAGGGGCCAAUCCACCGGAGAAAGUCCACUCCUACUUUGCAGGGCUUGGGCAUCAAACUCAGGUCAUCUGACAAGAGAGCGAGCACUUUUAAUUGCUGAGACAUCUCACUGCCAUCUGAAAGAGAACAAAGACAAACUCUCCCCCGGUUGCCUGAACUGGACAGAACGCCCGGGAUAACAGGGAUGACCUUGAACUCCGGAUCCUCCUGCCGUCUCCCAGGAGCUGGGAUUACAAAGAAUCUUACAGGUGUGCUCUGUCACACAUUCCCAUCUCGACUGCUUCUCCUGCCUGCCCCUAAGUCAGGGUAUGGAUCCUGGUGGAAACGAUAACCUCUACUAAAUGGAAGACCCACGUGGAGGGUCUCUAGUACAGGGCUACCAUCUGUGCCAAGCUGGACCAAGUAAAACCUGAAUGAAGACCCAACAAGGCCCAGACUUGACUUGAUGAAAGAUACCGCAAGAAUAAGCUCCCUGGGGUUGGGGAUUUAGCUCAGUGGUAGAGCGCUUGCCUAGCAAAUGCAAGGCCCUGGGUUCGGUCCCCAGCUCCGAAAAAAAAAAAAGAAAAAAAAAAAAAAAGAAUAAGCUCCCUGAGGAGCGAGCUAGUGGCGUGCACCUCAACCUGACCACCACACAGGUAGAGGUAGGAGGAACAAGAGUUCAAGACCACCCUGAGCUCAGCCAGACUCUAAUUCCAGACAAGAGCAGUCAUAUGCAGUAGUACAAGCCUAAUUUCCUUGUAUUUGGGAGGCAGAGGCAGGAGGAUCAAGAAUUCAAGGUCAGCCUCUACUCCAUAGCAGGGUUGAGAGUGGCUUGAUCUACACAUGACCCUAUCUUAAAAUGUUUUCUUUUCAGACAGGGUUUCUCUAUGUAGCUUUGGCUGUCCAAGAAGUCUUUCUGUAGACCAGGCUGGCUUUGAACUCAGAGAUCUGUCUGCCUCUGCCUCCUGAAUCCUGGGAUUAAAGGCUUACACUGCAACCACCCAACCCCUGUCUUCUGGCCUUUGAGGGCACCCAAACACAGCACAGGUAUGUGCGUGCACGAGGAUACACACACACACACACACACACACACACACACACACUUUUAAAAGUUUGGAACAUUCUCACAUUCUUUCACAGCAAUCAAAGUUGCUUUUGGACCAUCCGCUGUGGAGCCUGCAAGUCGUAAGAAGACACUUGGGAUUCGGAACAGAAUCUGUGUUGGCAGGGCACCCUCCCUCUCCUGUGUAGCUAGCUCCUUAUCAACCCUCCCUGCCAGCACUUUGAUUUUAAGCCUCCAGAGUUUCAGGAGAGUCAACAUCAUUGUUUUAAACCACCCCAGGUGAGGCUGUGGUCCUUGGUCAAGCAGCUCCAAGGUAACUGUUGCCGCGGCAAUAGCAACAGGUGGAAGGCCAGGUAUUUGCUCCCUUAUCUAUUUUUCCAUCUCCCACAUAUUCUAUAAUGACACCUUAGAGAUGGUACCUUAGAGAUACCUUAGAGAAGGAAGGCAGAAGGCAGGGCCGGGGAAGGAGAGAGUAAGAGACAAUUGCCCACUAAGACCAUGGCCCAAGAGUUUAGCAGGCAUUCUGAGACAAUGGGACAAUGGUGAAUCUCAGAGCCUCCCCCAUCAUUCCUCUAAGUCAGGAGACUGGGCAAGCCUGUCACUCCUCAGCCUCAGCAGUCUUGUUUGAUUGGAGAAUGAGGAGCUGGGCCUCCCUCGGAGUGGCUGUUGAAUGCAGUUCUGCCCUUAUGGAAAUGUUUAAUGUCAUGGCCACCAUUCAGUAAAGGCUCGCUCCACCAGUGCUGGGUGCCAGCCCAUGCCAGGAUCCAUCUAUGCCUCAGAGCCUGAAUGGGUGCAGAGCAAGCAGCUGAGUUCCCCUCCUCCCUUUCCUCACCCAUACUGGUGCCUCCUAAGAGUGGACAGAGCUGGCCUGGCUCAGCCAGCACCACCUGUCUGCUGUCGUCUCUCACCACAGAUGCCACCCAUGUCCCCUUCCUCCAGCUUGCCUUUCCUGCCUUGUCACCUGCAUUCUCACUCCCACAGCCCUCUGUCCCGCCCAGGUUCCCUUCCUCAUGUAUCUCCCUUGGGGAACCCCCACCCAAGCUGGGACUACUGAGCACCCACAUCCCAUCUCAAAGCCCUGUGGAGGCAGCAAGCAGGUUAGGCCAACUCCAGUCCAGUUUAAGCAACUCUGCAUGCAUGAAUGCUUGAUUGUGUCACCCACUUCCGUUUCCCUCAGGGUCUGCAGAAGAUAAUGGACUUGGGCCAGGCAGAUGGCUGGGUAGUAAAGCGUGUUGACCCAUCAGCCUGAGGACCUCAGUUUGGUUUCCCAGAACUCAUGUACAAGGUGGACAUAGAAAGAGCAUCUGAAGUCCCAGUGCUCCUAAAGGGACAUGGGAGGCAGACACAGGAAAGUACCUAGAAGCUCUCAGGCUGGGACACACACAGGGGGAAAGUAACAAGCGUACUCUGUCUCAAAUAAGCCAGAAGACAAGGACUGAUGCCGAUACCACACACAUACACACACACACCACAUAUACAUGUUCAUGCCAUAGACACACAUCACACCAUCACGCAUAUACACACUUAGACCACAGAUAUAUACCACACACACUCAUCCCAGAUACACACACAUACCACAGAUUACACCACACAUAUACACACUCACACCACACCACAGAUAUACAUACCACACACACAUCAUAGAUACAUACAGAUACACACACAUACCUAUACCACAAGCAUGCACACACACACACACACAUACACCACAUAUACACAUUCACACCAUAGACACACAUCACACAUAUACACACUUAGACCACAGAUAUACACCACACACACACCACAGAUUACACCACACAUAUACACAAACCACCGAUAUACAUACCACACACACACACACACACACACACACACACAUACCAAAUAGAUACACACCACAGAAGGUUUAUUUUUAAUGGGGGCUGAGGAUGUGGCUCCAGUUGGUAGCAUGUCUGUCUGGUACAAAGCCCGAGUUCAACCCUCACUCAGUACCACAUAUACCAGGCAUGUUCCCCCACUCCUGUAAUCCCAGCAUUCAGAAGGUAGAAGAAGCAGGAGGACCACAAGUUCAAGAGCAUCCUUGGAUAAAUAUCAAGUUUAAGGUAAGGCCAGCCUGGGGUACGUGAAACCUACCUCAAAGGUGUGGGGAGGAGAGAAAGGAGGAAGAAGAGAACAAGAAGAGAAGACACUUCCCCAGGGUAGUGGGCCCAAGCAUGAUGGGAUACCCAUGGGUUUCAAUCACAUGGUCUAGAGCUGUGCCCCACGCAGUGUACUCAUGAUCAUGUGAUGGCAGGUUUCUCUCUUCCUCCUCAGGCCUGUGGACAGUGAACGUAGCUCAGUGACUAAGAGUACUCUUUGCUUUUGCAGGUGUCUUGGGUUGGGUUCCCAGCAUUCACACGGUGGCUCACAACCAUUCAUAACCCAGUUCCAGGGAAUCCAACAUCCUCUUCUGACCUCUGAAGGCAUUGGGCAUCUUACUCGAUGCACAUGCACACAUGUGGGCAAAACACUCACUCGAAUAAAAAUAAUAUAUCUUAAAAAAAGAAAAAAGAAAAAAAGCACAGAGUAAGAUUUUGCUCCAAAUGCCCCUAUUGGGCAGUCAGUGACAGAGAUUGGCCAGAGAAAGACAUACUGACCGUUUGGAAUCCAGAACCAGCAAAGUGUAGAGAUGACAGAUGGGACCUGUCCUUCCAAGCUGAGGCAAUCAGGCCUGGGGAAGUCAGGAGAGCUACCCCAGGUCCCCCACCCAGCAGUCAGGGACCCCUUUCAAACUUGCUUCCACCUCCCGAUUUCUCCCCCCUCUCCCCUUGUAACUGAAUUCAACAGGCACCAGGUAGGUAGGUCCCUUGCUACACAACCCCACCUCCCAGCAUUCCCUGCUGGAUUGGGGCAGCAGCAAAGAUGGGAACUGGCAGGGAAAGACACCUGAGCAGGGACCAUCAGGUUCUGAGAGACGCCAGAGUAGGUCCUCAGAGACAAGCAGGGUGUGGAAGGUGCCUAAAGGUCAGUUAUGGGAGUGUAUGUGGUUGGAGCUCUAGCACACAGUCCUCCUUCCAGGGGAAAGCCAAGGCUGAGGAGGCCAGAAGGGCCCAAAUCCAGCAAGGUAACUUCAGCCUCUAUGCCUAUGAAUCCAAGAAGUUCCCAGGUGGCUUGGGGGAAGGGGUGGGAGGUGGACAGAGGAGCAGGCCAACACCCCCUCCCCAACCCAGCUGUCCCUCGGCAGACUCUGGACGCACCCUUCCUGUUGUGACAGUUCUAUUUUCUGUGCAACUGGUUCCAGCCCUGGCUCCGGUUUCAGAUUGCAGCACGUGCACUCAUUAAGGCUGAUGGGAGUAUCAUGUGGGCAGCAGGGAGAGCCGCCGCUGCCAAGCCUGGCCUGGCUAAUCACAGGUCAGAGCACUCCAACAGUAUGCCCAGAGAGCUAACUACCCAGUGCCAGACCCUGCCUCGGCCAGACUGGGAACCAAGCACCAACAUGACAGCACUCACAAUCAGAAAUUCCCACAAAGCAACUGACAUUCCUUAUCAAAGCCCCACAAAACUGAGGCGGAACCUAGCCAGCUCUGCCCUACUCUUUAAGAGCCUCCUAUACCAUUGCUAAGCAUUACCAAAUCUCCUGACCCAGCACGGCCAUCCAAAUGAUUCUUUGGGAACCGUCUGUUCACGUCACUUGUGACCAGGUUGCAUAGCACCUAGGAAUUCCAUGAUGGGAGCCUCAGCGAAAGCUCUUGCAUACCUGUGAUGGCUGAGGCCUUUGGGGAGGGAAGAAGGAGACUGUUAAGGGAAUGUGUCUUCAGAGAAAGGCAGAGACAUGGCUGGAACAGCAUUUUUUGUAGAGAGAUAAGCAAGUUUUAUUUUAUCACUGAACAUUUGGGGGAAAAAAAAAGAUCCUCAGAUGGACUUGGCACAGGGCUUUAACCUCAGCACUAUGGAGACAGAGGCAGGUGGAUCUCUGUGAAUUCAUUAAUUUUUCUGUAAACCUAAAAACAACUCUUUAAAAAAGCCCGUUGAGGUACUGGAGAGAUGGGCUUGGUGGUUAAGAGUGUUUACUGCUCUUGUAGAGGACCAGAGUGUGCCUCCCAGCAGCCCUGCCUGACAGCCCACAGCUACCUGGAACUUUAGUUUCAGGAGCCACGCUCUGCUGGCCUUUGUAGGCAUGAUCCCUCAGUCGCAUCUACUACCUCCAUACAUCCUAAACAUAAAAUAAAUCAUCUUUAACUUUUGUUGUUGGUUCUUGUCUGGGGAGGGGAGGGUCUUUCUCUACACAGCCCUGGCUGUACUGGAAUUUACUAUCGUAGACCAGAGAUCUGUUGGGAGCAUAGCCCAGUCAGUGGAGCGCUUGCCCUGACUCCAUUUUCAGUAUCUUAUACAUUGAGCCUGUUGGCAAAUGUCUGCAAUCCUAGCGCUCAUAGAGGCAGGAGGAACAGAACUUCAUUGUCAUCCUUGGUUAUAUAGCAAGUUCAAGCCCCUCCCCACUCACACACAGGUGACGAGACCCUGUCUCUGAUGUGGGCUGGGAGUGGGAGUGGGAGUGGUGAGGGGUAGAGGAUAUAGAGACGAUUUCCCACAUGCCUGCACUCCUUUCCUCCGAUCUCCCCUCCACCCCUAUCCCCAGCAUCUAUCACUUUGAUCUCAGGUCAGUGGACAUAGUUGUUACAAAUGACUGAUCAACACUAGUAUAUCACUACUGACUGAAGUUCAUAGCACACAUUAGGGGUUAUGGUCUGUGUUGUUUUCCAUAGGGUUUGACCGAUUCCUGGGUCUACCUUAUCCUACAGAGUCCUUCUAUGACCCUAAAAAUCUGCCCUCUGUGUUCACAACUAUAACCCCAGUACUGGGGAGGCGGAGGCAGAAUCAUGAGUCUCAGCAUAGCCUGGGUUACAUAGUAAUACUGUUUUUUUCAAAAACAGUUUUGAAGUAAAAUUGAGAAUUAAAACACAGGCAUGUGGUGGUGCAGGCCUCUAAUUCUGGCACUUAAGAGAUAAAAGGUAGGAACAAAAGGAGUCCAAAGUCACCCUUAGCCACAGAAUAAGUUCGAAACUACUCUGAGCUAUGUAAGCGCCUGUCUCAAAAACAAAAUCCCAAAAACCAAACCAACAAACCAAAAAUCCUAAGAUGGGCCAACAAGAUAGUCCAGUGGGUAAAAGCUACUGUGUGUGCUAGUGAGUUUUAUUCAAUUUGACACCUGCUAAAGUCAUAUGAGGGGAGGGAACCUCAACCGAGAAAAAUACCUCCAUGAGAUCCAGCUGUAGGGCAUUUCCUUAAUUAGUGAUUGAUGGGGGCUGGUGGUCCUGGGUGCCAUAAGAAAACAGGCUGAGCAAGCCAGUAAGCAGCACCCCUUUGCCUCAGCUCGUACCUCCAGGUUCCUGCCCUGCUUAAGCUCCUGACCUGACUUCCUUCGAUGAUCCUUUCCUCCCUAACUUCCUUUUGGUCAUGGUGUUUCAUUGCAGCAAUAGAACCCUAAGACACUGUGCAAGCCUUGGCGACCUGGAUUUGUUCUCAGGAAGCCACAGAGGAAGGAAAGAACUAACAUUGAAAGUUAUCCUCUGGGGUUGGGGAUUUAGCUCAGUGGUAGAGCGCUUGCCUAGGAAGCGCAAGGCCCUGGGUUCGGUCCCCAGCUCCGAAAAAAAGAACCAAAAAAAAAAAAAAAAAAAAAAAGAAA